rnacentral:rRNA from 1 species
GACGAACGCUGGCGGCGUGCUUAACACAUGCAAGUCGAACGGAAAGGCCCUGCUUUUGUGGGGUGCUCGAGUGGCGAACGGGUGAGUAACACGUGUGUAACCUGCCCUUGACUUUGGGGUAACUUCAGGAAACUGGGGCUAAUACCGGAUAGGAUCUCCUGCUGCAUGGUAGGGGUUGGAAAGUUUCGGCGGUUGGGGAUGGACUCGCGGCUUAUCAGCUUGUUGGUGGGGUAGUGGCUUACCAAGGCUUUGACGGGUAGCCGGCCUGAGAGGGUGACCGGCCACAUUGGGACUGAGAGACGGCCCAGACUCCUACGGGAGGCAGCAGGGGGGAAUAUUGCACAAUGGGCGGAAGCCUGAUGCAGCAACGCCGCGUGCGGGAUGACGGCCUUCGGGUUGUAAACCGCUUUCGCCUGUGACGAAGCGUGAGUGACGGUAAUGGGUAAAGAAGCACCGGCUAACUACGUG